GAGAUAGGAAGUAGAUUGAAAUGUAUCUGUAUUUUGCGUACGUACUAUACGUGCCCAGCUCGAUGCAGUAGUUCUCCAGUACCAGAACCAGAGACUUCUUCAGCAAAUAGACAAACAGAAGCAUGAUUUGCAAGAUCUUGAAGCAAAAAUUAAGGAACUAAAGGAUAAGCAAGGUUCUUAUGAUGAAAUGCUAAUCACAGUGAAUCAAAUAUGGAAUCAGUUGGUUGAUGAUUUAAUUCUUCUUGGACUAUGUACUGGAGGAAGCCAAAAUGCUUUACAAAUUUUAGAUGGCGCUGAUUAUUCUCGUGGUUCAAUUCCAUCAUGUUCUGCGGAGGAGAUGUUUCUUUGUAGA